rnacentral:rRNA from 1 species
GAUGAACGCUGGCGGCGUGCCUAAUACAUGCAAGUCGAGCGAACGGACGAGAAGCUUGCUUUUCUGAUGUUAGCGGCGGACGGGUGAGUAACACGUGGAUAACCUACCUAUAAGACUGGGAUAACUUCGGGAAACCGGAGCUAAUACCGGAUAAUAUUUUGAACCGCAUGGUUCAAAAGUGAAAGACGGUCUUGCUGUCACUUAUAGAUGGAUCCGCGCUGCAUUAGCUAGUUGGUAAGGUAACGGCUUACCAAGGCAACGAUGCAUAGCCGACCUGAGAGGGGGAUCGGCCACACUGGAACUGAAACACGGACCAGACUCCUACGGGAGGCAGCAGUAGGGAAUCUUCCGCAAUGGGCGAAAGCCUGACGGAGCAACGCCGCGUGAGUGAUGAAGGUCUUCGGAUCGUAAAACUCUGUUAUUAGGGAAGAACAUAUGUGUAAGUAACUGUGCACAUCUUGACGGUACCUAAUCAGAAAGCCACGGCUAACUACGUG